rnacentral:rRNA from 1 species
GGAUAACCUGCCCUAUCGUCUGGAAUAACCUCGGGAAACUGAGAAUAAGGCCGGAUAGUUCACAAAGCCUGGAACGGUUUGUGAAUCAAGGUAGGAUGGGUCUGCGGCGUAUCAGGUAGUAGGGGGUGUAAAGGACCCCCUAGCCUUCGACGCGUACGGGUGUUGGGAGACAUAGCCCGGAGAUGGAUUCUGAGACACGAAUCCAGACCCUACGGGGUGCAGCAGGCGCGAAAACUUCACACUGCAGGAAACUGUGAUGAGGGAACUCCAAGUGUGUGCACUAUGUGUACACUUUUAUGAACUUUUAAUCGGUUCAGGAAUGAGGGCUGGGAAAGACCGGUGCCAGCCGCCGCGGUAAUACCGGCAGCUCAAGUGGUCGCCGCUUUUAUUGGGCCUAAAACGUCCGUAGCCUGUUUGGUAAAUCUGUGGGUAAAUCAACUCGCUCAACGAGUUGAAUUCUGCAGAGACUGCCAGACUAGGGACCGGGAGAGGUGUGGGGUACUCGAGGGGUAGGGGUAAAAUCCUGUCAUCCUUCGAGGACCACCAGUUGCGAAGGCGCCACACUGGAACGGAUCCGACAGUCAGGGACGAAGCCUAGGGGCACGAACCGGAUUAGAUACCCGGGUAGUCCUAGGUGUAAACGCUGUGAACUUGGUGUCGGGGGUCCGCAAGGGGUCCCCGGUGCCGGAGUGAAGAUGUUAAGUUCACUGCCUGGGGAGUACGGUCGCAAGGCUGAAACUU